UGCCAGCAGCCGCGGUAAUACGUAGGGUGCGAGCGUUAAUCGGAAUUACUGGGCGUAAAGCGUGCGCAGGCGGUCUUGCAAGACAGUGGUGAAAUCCCCGGGCUCAACCUGGGAACGGCCAUUGUGACUGCAAGGCUGGAGUACGGCAGAGGGGGAUGGAAUUCCGCGUGUAGCAGUGAAAUGCGUAGAUAUGCGGAGGAACACCGAUGGCGAAGGCAGUCCCCUGGGCCUGUACUGACGCUCAUGCACGAAAGCGUGGGGAGCAAACAGGAUUAGAUACCCUGGUAGUCCACGCCCUAAACGAUGUCAACUGGUUGUUGGGGAUUUACUUCCUCAGUAACGAAGCUAACGCGUGAAGUUGACCGCCUGGGGAGUACGGCCGCAAGGUUAAAGCUCAAAGGAAUUGACGGGGGCCCGCACAAG
rnacentral:rRNA from 1 species